rnacentral:rRNA from 1 species
UACGAAGGGGGCGAGCGUUGUUCGGAUUUACUGGGCGUAAAGGGCGCGCAGGCGGCUCAUUUUGUCAGGCGUGAAAGCCCCGGGCUUAACCUGGGAACUGCGUUUGAGACGGAUGGGCUAGAGUUCGGGAGAGGAGAGUGGAAUUCCCAGUGUAGAGGUGAAAUUCGUAGAUAUUGGGAAGAACACCAACGGCGAAAGCACUCUGCUGGGCCGACACUGACACUGAGAGACGAAAGCUAGGGGAGCGAAUGGG